rnacentral:rRNA from 1 species
ACUCCUACGGGAGGCAGCAGUGGGGAAUAUUGCACAAUGGGCGCAAGCCUGAUGCAGCCAUGCCGCGUGUAUGAAGAAGGCCUUCGGGUUGUAAAGUACUUUCAGCGAGGAGGAAGGCGUUGUGGUUAAUAACCGCAACGAUUGACGUUACUCGCAGAAGAAGCACCGGCUAACUCCGUGCCAGCAGCCGCGGUAAUACGGAGGGUGCGAGCGUUAAUCGGAAUUACUGGGCGUAAAGCGUGCGCAGGCGGUUAUGCAAGACAGAUGUGAAAUCCCCGGGCUCAACCUGGGAACUGCAUUAGUGACUGCAUAGCUAGAGUGCGGCAGAGGGGGAUGGAAUUCCGCGUGUAGCAGUGAAAUGCGUAGAUAUGCGGAGGAACACCGAUGGCGAAGGCGGCCCCCUGGACAAAGACUGACGCUCAGGUGCGAAAGCGUGGGGAGCAAACAGGAUUAGAUACCCUGGUAGUCCACGCCGUAAACGAUGUCGACUUGGAGGUUGUGCCCUUGAGGCGUGGCUUCCGGAGCUAACGCGUUAAGUCGACCGCCUGGGGAGUACGGCCGCAAGGUUAAAACUCAAAUGAAUUGACGGGGGCCCGCACAAGCGGUGGAGCAUGUGGUUUAAUUCGAUGCAACGCGAAGAACCUUACCUACUCUUGACAUCCAGAGAACUUAGCAGAGAUGCUUUGGUGCCUUCGGACUCUGAGACAGUGCCUGCAU